rnacentral:sRNA from 1 species
GUUGCUCUGUUGUUCAGAGUUAUUAAAUGAAACUCUCGCUGUAAAGAAAAACCCUCAGAAUUCCCUAGUUGUUAUCCUCUGUGUUUCCCUUAGCUUCAUUGAUGCAUUAAAUAAUUCAAGCUUCAAGCGUAUCAAUCGUAAUUUUAACGAUUAAAUUUUAUUAAAUAUAAGGGACAAAUUAUGUCUAACAAAGCAACUGGUUCUGUAAAAUGGUUUAACGAGUCGAAAGGUUUCGGCUUCCUAACUCAAGAUAAUGGCGGCGCGGAUGUAUUCGUACAUUUCCAAGCUAUUGUUUCAGAAGGCUUCAAAACGCUAGUUGAAGGACAAAAAGUGUCUUUCAGCGUAGAGCAAGGCCCGAAAGGCCUUCAAGCAGCUAACGUUGUAGCUGGAUAAGAAUUAAAGCGUUGGCAAGCAGUUAAGCUGCUUGCCUUCC